CGGGGAAGCUGGUGCCCAUCUGCAGCAUCUACGGGCGAGAGGCGGGGUACACCCUGGACAGGAGCAGCAACGCAACAAACAACCCACGUCUUGCAUGCAUGCAUAUGUUAAGCCUGUCUUCCUCUACACUGUUUACCAGCACAGGAUCCCAUGGCAGUUGCCAUAGAAACUCUACUGCUUGGCACCAGGCAAGCCGAGAGCAAGAUUCGUUGUUGAGGGGUUUCCACAGGCAAAACCAUGCAAAGAUGUAGCUGAGAGGAACAUCAGUGACUGCUUAUCAAAAGACAGGUUUAUUUCUUGAUUGACAAGUCAGUACACGCUAAGAUAUAAAACAGGCAUCAUAGAAUGGUCCAUGUUCAUGUACCUGUAGAAUCACCAGCAAGCAUCAAGAGUAUGAAACAUUGAUGUACGAAGACAAUAUUUCUUUUCCUCUGUAUGUUUUCAAACAUGUAUUUCUACAUAUGUAUCAGAAUACAACUUGGCCUGAGGCAUAAUUUGCUUAGAACCCCUUGCUCACCUCGGGGCCUCAAGCGCAAGUAGGAAAAUCAACACGUCACAAAAUAAAAUGCAUAAUCAUCUA